rnacentral:lncRNA from 1 species
GGCAGGGAAACAGCCCAAUGAGCAUCACCGCAGAGGAGCCAAUCAGCUAGAUGUUGCUGGGGCCGAGGAGCCAAUCAGCUAGAUGUUGCUGGGGCCGCUGUGAGCCAAUCAUCAGCCAGCAGCUGGAAGUUUGCUGGCAGCUGGAAGUUUGCUGGGGCCCCUUUGGCUGUGGGUCUCAACACCGGAGGUUUCCACAGCGGCCAGAAGCUGUCCAUGGCCACAGUCAGUGAGUCCUGCCUCUCCCUGGGCUGGGGACAGUGGGGUGGGAAGGACCUGCCCCUGUGGCCUGCAAAGGCCCCUGGCACCGGGCUAUGGGAUGGCAUGCAGGGGCCGGGGAGCCACCGGCCACCCUCCUCCCCUCCAAGUGGGACUAGGAGGUCCGGGCUGGCCAGCUUCAGGGGUGCUUGCUGGGGAGGGAUGACACCCACUCUUUCAUGCAUUUCUCCCAAACCUAAACCACAAAUCACCCCCCUCUGAGGACUCACUGCAGGAGUGGCCAAUUAUGGUCCAGGCCCGGCUACUGAGCCCCGAGGCCAGGCUGCCCCCCACUGUUUUCACCCUUGACUCAGGGCAGUGGAUGGCAAGUGCAGUUGUGGGUACACAACAGAGCACUGGGCACCGACCUGGGCUGUGGGGAGCCCUGGCCUGGAGCGGGGCCCUGUGGGCAGAGGCCUGGGUUGAACUGAAGUGCACCCCGACUGAGAGCCCUCAUCCCCAGCAACCCCCCCCCCCCAUGGCCUCCCUUUUUGGGGCAUGCCCUGCCCUCCAGCAGUGAGGGUCACCUGGAGGGGUGGAGGCUCCUGGGCAGAGACCCAGGAGUGGGAGGCAGGGAGGCCAGGAGCCCCAUGCCCAGGGGCACGCCACAUCCCCACAGUGAGAACCAAGGGCCCUGCACCCAGGGGCAGGCCGCACCCACACAGUGAGAACCAGGAGCCCUGUGCCCAGGGGCACGCUGCACUCACACUGUGGGUUUUCCUCCGUCCAUUUCCAGAGCUGUGCUGAGAGAGAGGAAGGUGGGUGGUGAUGGCCGGCCUACAGGACAGGGCCAUGGACAGGCAGCCCCAGAUAUGCCUGGCACAGUGAGUCCCUCACUACCAACUCCAGAGAGGGCUUCGUCCCUAGCAGCAGGGGGACCUCACGGGCACCGUUCAGCAAGGAGGCCAGGCACCAGAGUGUCUGCCAGAGGGGCAGCAGUGGCCUUCUAGGGACGGGGACCUCAUGUGCCAGCCCAGGGGAUGCGUGCACGGCCCCUGAGCUGGACUCCGAAGACGCCUACUUUUUACAUGUGGCCUUUAAUUAGAGAAAGGAGAAGUGCGAUUUCUCCCGAAGUCGUUUGCAUGUGGGGGGAUCUAGGCUCUGGUGGCAGUGGAACCAGUUCCUCCGGAGGCCGGAGGCCAGGGGCCUGCAGACACCCCGGAGCUGGGGCUUUCCUCUGGGCCAGCUCUCAUUUCCGCAUCUGAGCCUCCGGGUUCCAGAACCUCCCCCAUGCAGGGGCCGUUUUAGAUGAAGAGCUUCCUCUCAACCUAGAGUGACCCUGGCCUCCAGUCCACAGCAGGGCAUCCUGCCUGUGCACGGGUCCCUUGGGCUGGGCUGACCUCACAGGAUGGGAUGUCCAAAGGCCCCUGUGGCUUGGGCCCCUGCAUAUUUUUCUCCAGAACCCAUAGAAUUUGUGGGUGGGUGGAGUUAGCCACUCUGUCCCUCUCUACAACUUCCAACAUUCCCAGGGGACCCAUGCAAUGUGUCCUUCUCAUUCUUUCAACUUGUCUUUGUUUAUUUUUUUUUCAGUCAGGGCCUCACUAAGUUGCUGAGGCUGGCUUUGAACUUGUAAUCCUCCAGCCUCAGCCUCCUGAGCCACUGGGAUUACAGGCGUGCCCCACUACACCUGGCUUCAACUUUUUAUUACACAUGGAAGAUUUCCACACUGGAACGAGUUCACCCACAUCACCCCUAUUCUGCUCAUCUUUUGGAGACUCAUAGUUUGGUCCAAAUUUAUAAAAAUGUGGUAAGCUAAAAGAAAAAAAAAAUUACCUAAAAGAAGCUAUCGGCCCAAUCAAGAACGGCUUAAUAUUAUUCAUUUUCUUCUUUGAAUGUUGUUGUUUUGUUUUGUUGUUGUCCUGUCUCUCUAAGGUGCUUAGGUCCUCACUGAGUUGCUGAGGCUGGCUUUGAACUUGAGAUCCUCCUGUCUCAGCCUCCUGAGUCGCUGACACGGUGCCCACCCCUGAACAUGGUUCUUAAGAGCCGUUUUAGAGCUGCUGGCUCAGGGCUCCCUCCACAGGCCUCGGUUUGUUAAUAGUCUCUAGAUUCAAGCUCUCUGAGCGUUUCCGGGUGUGUUCAGAGUCUCCCACGUCGUCCAGAGGCUGUGCCCAGUGUUGUAAAUUGCCUCUCUCUGUUCUCGGCAUCUGGGUGUCGUCAGGCCUCCACCAAACCCCAGGAAGGCAGACUCCCCGCCAGCUCCUAUCCAACCUUGGUUUUCCCAAGUCCUUCCUUCACAGAGCCGGGCAGCACAACCAUUCCCAACUUGGAAGGCUUAGAUCUUUGUAAUUGAAAACACCUUCACGACACCUGCUGCUGGCCAGGCUGACCCCCAUCUUGCGCAGCUCCUCAGCUUCAUGCUCCCCUUCAGCAGGACAAGGGUACUGCCCACCUCCAGGCCUCUCCCUGAAGCCACUCCAAGAGCAGGUGGGUGAAGUCCCACUGCCCUGGGCACACUAGAGGCGAGACUCUCUGAGCCAAGGAAGUGGGUAGACACCACGGCGGGCACUGGUGACAGCGGAACCCCACAGAGCAGAGCCUCAGCCUCUGGACAGCCGGUGCCACCUGUCUGCCGAAUUCGAUGGUGAUCUGUGGUUUUCCUUCCGGAACUUCCAGCCCAAGAUCAAACACCUGUCAAGUCUGGGGACUGAGUAAGUCUGGGCCUUCUUGAAGGGUUCCGGGCUGCUCCUCAGUCUCCUCAUUUUUGAUUUCACAGCAGAUUUUCCUAUUCAAGUCGGGUGGGCGCCCUCUCUCCUCAGCGGGUUGGCUGGAGUCCUGAGGUAUGUGUUCAAGGGGGUUCCGCAGCCUCACUCUCCACGCCAGCCCAGGGCAGUCCCCACGUGAUUUGAAAGACCCACCCCAACACGCCCGACAGAAGCCACCGCGACGGCCCUGGCACCCUUGAGGAGACUGCUUCUGGCACCCAUGGGCACCGACACAGGUGCUCCAGGCCCCGGCACGGGCAUGGCAUCUGCAUGGGACCUGCAGGCCCGCCCCUUACCCCACGCUGGCUGCUGUCCAGUGUCUAACUCGGGUGACAUCCAGGCUGGGACAUGGUUGUCACCCCAGCUGUGGGGGCUCAUGGGAGGGCUGUGCCCCUUCAGGACACGGGCAGGGCUGUCAGAUGUGCAUGGCCGAGUUCAGAUGGGGACAGCCAGCUGCCGUGGGGGUGCGUUUUUAAAGUCCCAGCGGAUCUGAAGAUGGCUCCUGUGGCUUUGCUAUAGCAACACAAGGACACGAGGGCCUUUCUUCUCCUUCCUUCUCGGCCCUCCCUGGGCAGGUCAUGCUGGUGUAGGGAGGGUCCAGCAGGCCGGGUCAGUUCAGGAAGUUGACCUGGUGUCCACCGUGGGGCACUCAGCCAGACCUGGAUCUGUGUCCAUCCCCCAGUUUCUCUUCAGAUUUUGAGUCAGUUACUUUUCUCUGGAGGUUAGACUUGCUGUGAGGAGAAUAGCCAGGGGCCAGCAAGUCCACCUUUGGCCCCACGGUGGCCGGCCAGGCCUCUGCAGCCCCAGCGGGAAAGGGGGCAGCAAGGGUAGGCAGCUCAGAGAAGAGGGUGUCCCCAGUCCUCCACUGCGUGACGCCCAUGAAGUGGAGGCAGGGAGGCCAGGAACACACACCACACACACACCACAUACACACACCACGUACACACCAAACACAACACACACACAACAUACAACACACACAACACACAACAUACAACACACACAUCAUACACCACACAACACACACACAACACACAACACCCACACCAUACACACAUCACAUAUACCACACACAUCACACACACACAACACCCACACCACACACACACAUAUUACACACACCACACAUACACACACACACACCCCACAUGUGCCCACCAUGCUGAGAACAUGCAGGAGCGGUGGCCAUUGGGCCUCUGAUGAGCUGGGCAUUGUCCCCAGGCCUGUGGGCUGGGUGCUGAAAGUCCAGCCUAUUUAAAACACACACGGAACUUGGGAACGCAGCCCUCGAGAGCGGUGAGGAGACUGGAGGCACUCCCGCAGGCUCGGUGGCCUGCAGGGAUGGUCCCCCAUCACACAGAUGCAGGAAGGGCCAUGGGGUGCACUUAGGCUGCACAUGGCCAACGGCCAUUGCGGAUAUGUCCUCGCUUUCUCCGCUUUGUGGACUCUUGACCUGCUUAGAGUUGCCGUGGGUGAUGUCCCAGCCUCUGUCCUGAAAAGCAAGUGGUCCACUGCCUUGGUGAAGUGGCAGGUGACCAGAAGGUGAAGCUGAAGACACUCUCUCAGGGGUGAUGACCCUCGAGGGUGAACAUCAGGCCUGGACCUCCAAGGCCUUUGGCUGCUGGUUUCUAGUCCCCAUGCUUCGGCGUCCCCUGUGCCCAGCUGGAGGACAUGGCUCUGUCCAGUGGGAGCCCAGGCUGGGCCGCUGUGUGGCUGGGAGCCUGCUGUGCCUGGCAGGCCCAGGGAGGGCCAGGGCGGGCAGUGUGGGCAGGUUGUCCUGGGCCCAUCUGCACACUGCUUGGGACUCAUUUCUUUAGCGUUUUUCUCUAAAGCAGAUCCACGCUAAGUCAGCAGACCACAGGAGAGGACUCCCAGGAGUCCCCGGGGCCUGCGCGGCCUUCACCACGGCCUGCCCUGGGCUCCUGCGCUCCACUCUGGCUUCUGGCUUUGCUGCCCAAGGCCAGUCCCUGCAGCUGGCCAGGGCAAGGGGGCACCCGCCGCACCGUCCCAUCAGACCCACAGACACAAAGACGCAGCCCCGAGACGCUUCCAGAAGUGACCUCCACUUUAGGGCCCCUCACCCUCCGUGAGGCGGUCCUGCCCUGGGGAUGGCCGUGGUGGACAACACCCUCUUCUGUGCCACCAUGUUUCCCCUGGGACAGCUCACAGCAGGGCUGGUGCACUGGAGCGUCUAGCUGCGGGUGGAAGGGCAUUUUGAACAUUUUGUAGGCCAGUGUACUUCAGGGCCCACCUGAGAAGCGUGGCCACCAUCGGUCUCUAUUGCACAGUGCGUUCAGGCUCUCAGAGAAACUCUGUUGAAGGGAAACAUGGUUGCUCCAAAGAAAAAAUAUUAAGUGAAUGGAAAAUGUGGUCCUCAGAGAUGGCCAAGCAGGAGAAGGCGGCGGGCGCUCGGAGAGUAGCUAUGGGCUGUGGCUCUGGAGGCUGAGGACAGUCUUGGUGGCCAUGGGCGGGAGGCGCUCUCGCCCUCCUGGUCCAGGUACCUGCAGAUCCAGCGAGGGGCUGCAGUCCCCGUGGGGAUCGGACGUCCAGCACGGUGGGACUGGACCAGCCCACAGGAAGGGCACAGCCAUCUCGCAGGAAGACCCACUGAGGGACCAGGCGGCUGGGGAUCUGGUGGAGUCAUGGAGGGCAGCAUGUCCAGGACAGCAGGUCGGAGAAGCUCCAGAGCUUCCUCUACACGGGCCUCCCUCGGCCUUUCUGAACGGGAGCCACGUUUCCAUUCCACGCUGAGCCUGCAUCAUGAAGCUGGUGUGGACCCUCUGGGUCUUGACCCAGUGCCACUGGGGCUGUCCCUCAGGCGUGUGAGAUCAAGACAGGCACAGCUUGGCACAGGGCGGGCAUGGCGAAGACGUGGCCAGGAACAGGGGCCCCGGGAAGGUGGGGGCAGGAAAGGGAGUCGAGGCAGCAAGGGGCGGGAUAGGGCCUCUCGGGCUGUGUGUGUAAGGGGCAGUGGUGGGGUCCUCUGCCGACUGUAGAGGCCAGCAGGGCAGGCCAUAGGGAGAUCCGAGCAGGAAGGGGCCUCUACUGCCGUCCUCUCCCAGCUCCUUUGCUGUCACACCCAGAAGGCGUUCGGGGGCACACAUCCUCAAGCCUGCACCCGCCUAGGCCCCACCAUGCACCAACAAAAGCCAGGACAGAAGUCCUACACAGAUGGCCACAGGGGUACUGGACAGAACCCCCUCUUCUGCUCACAGUGGAUGUCUACCUUGGGCACCGAUGGGGUGAGCCUGGCACUGUGCCCAGGUGCCCCCGCCCCAUCCUGCCUCCCAGGGCCAGCUCAGGACCAUCCGCCCAGACUUCCGCGUGGACAGGAGCUGGAAUUCUUGCAGCUGGUCUCACGCUGGUGGGGCCUGCAGGGCAGGGGCGGGCAGGAGACGCUGGGUGAGCUGAGGGUUAGGGGAGAGUCCAAGGCCCAGCCAGCAGGACUUGUCUCUCUGGGCUACGAGGAGAGCACCGAGAAGUCAGCAGUUGCCCAGGUGACCCAGCAGGAGCCUCAUGAGACCUGCCAUGGUGACGCCAGAGCCUGCACAUGCCCUGUGGGACCACGCCACCUCCCGUCCACUGGGGUUGGCUGCCUGCUCUGGCUUGUCAGAGCAGGGUGACCACUCCUAGCUGAGGGGACGCUGGAGCAGAUGCAGUUGGCACCCCUCCCUGCACACAGGGACCUUCUCCAGCGGGCGCUGUGACCUCUGCCUGGGGCCACGAGUCUGGGACACUGCCAGUGAAUGCCCCUCUCCCAUCCUCGGGAACAACUCAGAGGCGCCCCCCUGGCCUCUCCCUGAGAUGUCCCUGCCGAGCCUCGGGUGCCACCGCGGGUGCCUCUAUGGCUCCUUUCUCCUGCCUCCUGUCCAGUCUCCCUCCUCCUCUCACCCACCUCUGGUGUCCCUCUCAGGGAAAUCAUGUGCACAGGGACAGGCCCUGGUGCUGCAGUCUCCUGGGGAGCCCCAUCCAUCGUGGUUUGGAUCUGCGAUGUCCCCCGAAGCUGAAGCCGUGGCCCCAGAAGGUGGCACUAUCGGAGGUGGGAGAGAACUCAAGCCAUGAGUCAGAAGAGGCGGGUCUCCAGGUGACUCUGGAGGGCAUGUUCUGUCCCUGGGCUUGGUUCUCUCUCUGCCUCUUGGCUGCCAGGAGGUGGGUGGCCCCUGCCACCUGGUCCUACACCGUAAGGUUCUGCCUCACAUGGCCCAGGAGCCAUGGAGCCAGCUGACCAUGGAGCCAACUGACCAGGGACUGAGACCUUGAAACCGUGGGCCAAAGUAGAUCUUCCUCCCUCCAGUUGAUUCUCUGAAGUUUGGUCACCUCGGGGGCAGGCUGACUGACACAGUCUAAGUGGGCAUGUCAGAGGAGGGAGCCUGUGUCGGGGGCAGGGCUGUGACUGGGUGGUUCUUCCCUCCGCCCAGGCCCUGGCAAACCUUGCCGUCAGAUACCACCUUCUCUCCUAGAGGUGCACCUGGGACCACUGUCCCCUGUGCCGGGGACAGGGCCAGCUAGGAUCAGAGCACCAAGCCCCCUGGCCUCCAGCCCUUGGCUCAAAGCAAACAGACCCUCAGGGUGGUGGAGGACGUGAGGUGAGGGGAAGGCAGGGGUCCAUCUCCAGUGGUCUGACUUCCACCAGUGCCGUUCUUAGUCGAGCAUCAGGGCGGGAUGAGCAGAGCCCGCAGCCCCUGCAAGAUCUCCCUAGGAACGUAGCUGCAGACCAGGGGGGACCAUUUCCUAGUCCUUGUGUCCCGACCUCCUUUUAAUCUACAAGUAGCAUUACGUCCAUGCGUAGGAUGUGAUUUUCUUUUUUGCAGGGGUUACUGGGGAUCCAACUCAAGGCCCUGGACAAGGCACUGAGCCAUAGCCCUAUUUUGCAUUUUAUUCAGAGACAGCGUCUCCCUGAGUGCUUAGCGCCUCGCUGUUGCUGAGGCUGGCUUGGAACUUGAGAUUCUCCUGCCUCAGCCUAGAACAUAAGUUUUUGAUACGUGCACAUGCAUUGGAGAAGGAGGAAAUCAAGCGCACACUUGCUCCAGGGAGGAGAGUGUUUAAAACCUGCUCUCCUAGGGACCUCCCAGUGCUCACAUUGGCCAUCGUCCCCAAGCUGCAUGCCAGUCCUCCAGGACUCUUCCUGAACUGAGACUCAAGCCCUUGACCAGUGUCUCCACCCUGCAGAUGCCACUCUAGCCUCCGCCCUGUGAGUCCAGGUUUUCAGGUUCUGCUUGUAAGGGAGACCAAGAUGCUUGUCUCUCUGCAAUUCCUCUGAGAAGAGUCCUCCAGGUUCAUCCGUGUUGGUCACAAAGGUCACAAAGGCCCCUGACCUUUUUCUAUUUUUUUAAGGCUGAAUAGUAUUCCAUUGUGGGCACAUACCACCUCAUCUCUAUCUAUCUGCUGUGGAUGGCGUGUCCUGAUUUCCAGAUUUGGACACUGGUGACCCUGUGCCUGGGGAGACUGGGGUGUGAGGGGCAGCGAGGGCCUCGUCCCUCCGGAAAUCCAGCAGUAUCGUUCCUUCUCAGGGCUCCUCUGAGCCUCUGGCUGCUGGAGGCCUUCCCUCCCUCGGGGGCUCCUUGGAGGUCUGGACACCUGGGCUUUGGGAAUAGAGAACCAUUUCCUUUCUGAAAUGAGACAUUUAGAAGCUCAGCACUUUUGCAGGCUUCCUCUUUGCCUCUAAAGCAUUUCUGGAAGUGCUACUAUCUUUCAUUUUAAAAACAUUUUUCACAGCAUCUGUACCCAGGCGGCCUCAUUGUGUCCAGCUUCCGCCGGGCACAGGGGGAUCUCUGCUUCCUCUGCUGGGGGGCUGUGGCUCCAGGGGCCACCAGAGACCCAGGUCACUGUGGAAGCCUGGCUCAGUGUCCUGACGCCCCAGCUGGCAGUUCCAGUGUGUCUACCCCGUUCCCUGCAGACACAGCUUCGGCCUUUUUCAGGACAGGUCGUCUGUCCCCAGCACCUUUGGUGAAGCCCACCCUUGAAAGGCCCUGGGCAGGUGGCUGGGGGAUGGAGAGGAAGCUGGGGCUCUGCGGGCACCAUGCUGUUCUCCUGGGCAGCACUCUCACCCUCUGGGUUGCCCCUGGGUCCUCGUCCCUUACGACCCUUACUUACGGCAUCUACCUCAUCUGUAAGGGGGAUUCCAGCCCCUGCAGGCCCUUAGAGUGGAUGGAGGAGAGAAGUACGUGGGCGAGGUCCCGGGGAGACCCCUGACCUGUGUUAGCCGCUUUGUCCAAGGCUGGAAAGGGGGCGGCUGCAUUUCCUUGUGAAACCCUAAUAAAGACCCUGUGGGAGCCUCCACUGGUCA